GAUGCCUUGAGCCGCAAGUCUUACUGCAACCACCUCCAAGUUCAUAAAGUUCAGCCCUCACUUGUUGAAGAAUUCAGGAAGCUGAACCUCCAUAUUGUUCCUCCGGGUGCACUCGCUCCCCCUCCUAAGGAGUUCCGCAAGAUGAACCUCCGUGUUGUUCCCCAGGGUUCCCUCAAUACCCUGAUCGUCGAACCAGAUCUCCUGGACUCCAUCAAGAGAAUACAGGGGUAUGACUCUGAAGCCCACAAGAUUAAGCGCUACCUCGCAGAAGGAAAGCCCUCAUUCUUCACCAUUUCUGAAGAUGGCACCCUAUACUUCAAGGGCCGCCUAGUGGUGCCAUGUGCAGAGAAAAACCUGGAUAUGACACAGGAAGUUAUGAAAGAAGCUCAUGAUACGCCUCUGUGUAUCCAUCCGGGUAGUACAAAGAUGUACCAAGAUAUCCGUCAGAGAUUCUGGUGGACUAAUAUGAAGCAAGACAUUGCUCGUUAUGUUGCUGAGUGUGACGUUUGCCGUCGCAUCAAAGCAGAACAUCAAAGGCCUGCUGGAACUCUGCAACCUAUCUCUAUUCCUGAAUGGAAAUGGGACCAUGUUGAGAUGGACUUCGUCACUGGAUUUCCCAAAUCGCAGAAAGGUAAUGAUGCUAUUCUUGUCAUCAUUGACCGGCUUUCCAAAGUUGCACAUUUCCUGGCAGUCAAAGAAACGAUCACUGCUAGCCAGUUGGCAACGCUCUAUAUGUCCAGGAUUGUUUCACUCCAUGGUAUUCCAUUGGUUAUCAGUUCAGACCGUGGUAGCAUAUUCACUUCAAGAUUCUGGGCAAGUUUCCAAGAAGCAAUGGGAACUCAUCUGUCAUUUAGUACUGCGUUUCAUCCUCAAUCGCAAGGACAAGUUGAACGCGUCAAUCAAAUCCUCGAAGACAUGCUUCGAGCUUGCGUUAUUUCCUUCGGCAAGAAAUGGGAGGAAUCUCUCCCGUAUGCUGAGUUCUCCUAUAAUAAUAGCUAUCAAGCUAGUCUGAAGAUGGCCCCCUUCGAGGUGUUAUAUGGACGAAAGUGCCGAACCCCUCUG
rnacentral:rRNA from 1 species